rnacentral:rRNA from 1 species
UACGUAGGGUGCAAGCGUUAAUCGGAAUUACUGGGCGUAAAGCGUGCGCAGGCGGUUUUGUAAGUCUGUCGUGAAAGCCCCGGGCUCAACCUGGGAAUUGCGAUGGAGACUGCAAGGCUUGAAUCUGGCAGAGGGGGGUAGAACUCCACGUGUAGCAGUGAAAUGCGUAGAGAUGUGGAGGAACACCGAUGGCGAAGGCAGCCCCCUGGGUCAAGAUUGACGCUCAUGCACGAAAGCGUGGGGAGCAAACAGG